GUCUGGAAAGGCGCGCGAUACAGGGUGACAGCCCCGUACACAAAAAUGCACAUACUGUGAGCUCGAUGAGUAGGGCGGGACACGUGGUAUCCUGUCUGAAUAUGGGGGGACCAUCCUCCAAGGCUAAAUACUCCUGACUGACCGAUAGUGAACCAGUACCGUGAGGGAAAGGCGAAAAGAACCCCGGCGAGGGGAGUGAAAAAGAACCUGAAACCGUGUACGUACAAGCAGUGGGAGCCUCUUUUAUGGGGUGACUGCGUACCUUUUGUAUAAUGGGUCAGCGACUUAUAUUCUGUAGCAAGGUUAACCGAAUAGGGGAGCCGAAGGGAAACCGAGUCUUAACUGGGCGUUAAGUUGCAGGGUAUAGACCCGAAACCCGGUGAUCUAGCCAUGGGCAGGUUGAAGGUUGGGUAACACUAACUGGAGGACCGAACCGACUAAUGUUGAAAAAUUAGCGGAUGACUUGUGGCUGGGGGUGAAAGGCCAAUCAAACCGGGAGAUAGCUGGUUCUCCCCGAAAGCUAUUUAGGUAGCGCCUCGUGAAUUCAUCUCCGGGGGUAGAGCACUGUUUCGGCAAGGGGGUCAUCCCGACUUACCAACCCGAUGCAAACUGCGAAUACCGGAGAAUGUUAUCACGGGAGACACACGGCGGGUGCUAACGUCCGUCGUGAAGAGGGAAACAACCCAGACCGCCAGCUAAGGUCCCAAAGUCAUGGUUAAGUGGGAAACGAUGUGGGAAGGCCCAGACAGCCAGGAUGUUGGCUUAGAAGCAGCCAUCAUUUAAAGAAAGCGUAAUAGCUCACUGGUCGAGUCGGCCUGCGCGGAAGAUGUAACGGGGCUAAACCAUG
rnacentral:rRNA from 1 species